AUGGGAUACAUUUUCUUUUGCAGGUCUUUUGACACCAAGGUGGAGGUUGUUAGCCAUAAGGAGCAAUUAAGGAUGUUUUAAUAUUGGAAUUUCAUGGAGAAACAAGAAUGUGCACUUCUGAAGGCUUUUUCGUAUCUAGCAACUUGUUAGAAAGGUGAAUGUGAUUAAAUUCUCGAAUUGUAAUAUAAAUUGACGAGAUUGUGCUUAUAUCAAUAUGACAUUAGUGACCGGUUUGGUAUGGUGUCAUACUGUUAUUUACAAUAAUAAACAUUAUUAAGCAAGAGAAAUAAGUUAAAACCUUGCUCAUGGUCUAAUUAUAUAUUA